AGUGAACGCUGGCGGUAGGCCUAACACAUGCAAGUCGAACGGCAGCACAGUAAGAGCUUGCUCUUACGGGUGGCGAGUGGCGGACGGGUGAGGAAUACAUCGGAAUCUACUUUUUCGUGGGGGAUAACGUAGGGAAACUUACGCUAAUACCGCAUACGACCUACGGGUGAAAGCAGGGGAUCUUCGGACCUUGCGCGAUUGAAUGAGCCGAUGUCGGAUUAGCUAGUUGGCGGGGUAAAGGCCCACCAAGGCGACGAUCCGUAGCUGGUCUGAGAGGAUGAUCAGCCACACUGGAACUGAGACACGGUCCAGACUCCUACGGGAGGCAGCAGUGGGGAAUAUUGGACAAUGGGCGCAAGCCUGAUCCAGCCAUACCGCGUGGGUGAAGAAGGCCUUCGGGUUGUAAAGCCCUUUUGUCGGGAAAGAAAAGCAGCAGGUUAAUACCCCGCUGUUCUGACGGUACCCAAAGAAUAAGCACCGGCUAACCUCGUG
rnacentral:rRNA from 1 species